GGCCCAAGCAACUGUUUACCAAAAACACAGGUUUGUGCUAAAUCGAAAGAUGACGUAUACGAGCUGACGCCUGCCCGGUGCUGGAAGGUUAAGAGGAGAUGUGCAAGCAUUGAAUCGAAGCCCCAGUGAACGGCGGCCGUAACUAUAACGGUCCUAAGGUAGCGAAAUUCCUUGUCAGGUAAGUUCUGACCCGCAUGAAAGGCGUAAUGAUUUGGGCACUGUCUCGACAGCCCGCCCGGCGAAAUUGUAGUACCGGUGAAGAUGCCGGUUACCCGCGACAAGACGGAAAGACCCCAUGGAGCUUUACUGUAGCCUAAUAUUGGGUUUCGAUGUUGCAUGCACAGGAUAGAUGGGACACAGGGAAACAAGUGCUUUGGCAUUUGUGGAGUGGCCGUUGGGAUACCAUCCUUGCGAUAUUGGAAUUCUAACCUGCGCCUUUGAAUCAAGGCGGGGGACAUUGUUAGGUGGGCAGUUUGACUGGGGCGGUCGCCUCCUAAAGAGUAACGGAGGCGUUCAAAGGUUCGCUCAGCUUGAACGGAAAUCAAGCAAAAGAGUGCAAACGCAGAAGCGAGCCUAACUGCGAGACUGACGGGUCGAGCAGUAACGAAAGUUGGAGUUAGUGAUCCGGUGGUAUGUGAGUGGAAAUGCCAUCGCUCAACGGAUAAAAGUUACCCUGGGGAUAACAGGCUGAUCUCCCCCAAGAGUCCACAUCGACGGGGAGGUUUGGCACCUCGAUGUCGGCUCAUCGCAUCCUGGGGCUGAAGUAGGUCCCAAGGGUUGGGCUGUUCGCCCAUUAAAGCGGUACGCGAGCUGGGUUCAGAACGUCGUGAGACAGUUCGGUCCCUAUCUGUCGUGGGCGCAGGAUAUUUGAUGGGAGCUGUUCCUAGUACGAGAGGACCGGAGCGGACGUACCUCUGGCGCACCAGUUGUUCUGCCAAGGGCAUAGCUGGGCAACUAUGUACGGAUCGGAUAAACGCUGAAAGCAUCUAAGCGUGAAGCCGACCCAAAGAUAAGAUAUCCCAUUGUUUCAAACAAGUAAGACCCCUUGAAGACUACAAGGUUGAUAGGCACGAUGUGUAAGUGGAGCGAUCCAUUCAGCAAGCGUGUACUAAUAGGUCGAGGGCUUGACCAC
rnacentral:rRNA from 1 species